GACGAACGCUGGCGGCGUGCUUAACACAUGCCAGUCGAACGGAAAGGCCCUGCUUUUGUGGGGUGCUCGAGUGGCGAACGGGUGAGUAACACGUGAGUAACCUGCCCUUGACUUUGGGAUAACUUCAGGAAACUGGGGCUAAUACCGGAUAGGAGCUCCUGCUGCAUGGUGGGGGUUGGAAAGUUUCGGCGGUUGGGGAUGGACUCGCGGCUUAUCAGCUUGUUGGUGGGGUAGUGGCUUACCAAGGCUUUGACGGGUAGCAGGCCUGAGAGGGUGACCGGCCACAUUGGGACUGAGAUACGGCCCAGACUCCUACGGGAGGCAGCAGUGGGGAAUAUUGCACAAUGGGCGGAAGCCUGAUGCAGCAACGCCGCGUGCGGGAUGACGGCCUUCGGGUUGUAAACCGCUUUCGCCUGUGACGAAGCGUGAGUGACGGUAAUGGGUAAAGAAGCACCGGCUAACUACGUG
rnacentral:rRNA from 1 species